rnacentral:rRNA from 1 species
GACGAACGCUGGCGGCGUGCUUAACACAUGCAAGUCGAACGAUGACGCAAAGAAUCGAAGCUUCGGCAGAAAUUCAUUUCGGAUUAGUGGCAGACGGGUGAGUAACGCGUGAGCAACCUACCUCUUACAAAGGGAUAGCCUCGGGAAACCGGGAUUAAUACCAUAUAACAUUGUGACGAAGCAUUUCGAUGCAAUCAAAGCUACGGCGGUAAGCGAUGGGCUCGCGUCCCAUUAACCGGAUGGGGAGGUAACGGCUCACCAUAGUGACGAUGGGUAACCGGACUGAGAGGGUGAACGGUCACACUGGAACUGAGACACGGUCCAGACUCCUACGGGAGGCAGCAGUAGGGAAUAUUGCACAAUGGAUGGAACGCUGAUGCAGCGACGCCGCGGGAGUGAUGAAGGAAUUCGUUUCGUAAAACUCUGUUCUAUGGGAAGAAAAGGACUGUACCAUAGGAGAAAGCUCCGGCUAAAUACGUG